rnacentral:misc_RNA from 1 species
UCUCCGUAGGUGAACCUGCGGAGGGAUCACUACAGGCUUGCAAAAGCUCUGAAACCACUGUUUAUCUACCUGAAUCUGCUCCGGCGGGCGGCCCCAGGGCGGGGCCGUAGCCGCAAGGCGCCCGCCGAAGACCCCUAAACUCUGUCGUCUUGAGAAUCUCUGAGUAUCAUAUUAAACAGAAAACAACUUUCAACAACGGAUCUCUUGGCUCUG